rnacentral:lncRNA from 1 species
CCUUGCAGUCAGGCCACCCAAGCACACAAGGAGGCAGCCUGGCCCUCAGUGGCAGCCAGACUGACCCCGGCUCUUCAACUUAUUGACCGGGAAGGGGCCACUGACACUCCUGAGAAUCUGGUGAAAGCUGUGGACUGUUCUUACCAAACACACCUCACAGCCACAAGCUUUACAUGUUUACACAUAAGGGACUCUAAGAACCAGACCCUCAGUUGCCAGUAAGGGAAUGAGGCCAAGGGAGCUAGUGUCUCCUCAUGGGGCAGAAGGGCAGCUGGAGUCCCCCUGAGAAAGCCCAGCCUGGGCGGGCCGGCCGGCAGGACCAAUGGUGGGCAAGAGUCCUAAGUGGACCACAGAAGGUCUGGGGUUAGCAGGCAGUGCCUGGGCUCUGGGGAGGCCAGAUGAGGGGAACAGCGAGUCGGAGUGCACAGGAGCCUGUGCUUGUACCUGGGAGGAGGGGCCGGUCCUCUUCCAUGACUGCUCCCCGUGACAGGACUCCCACCACAGCAACGCUCAGAAAGAGGACAGUGCACACGUCCCCUUCCCACAGCCCUAGUCAGAGCCUCCCGCCAGCCCUGAUCACAACACAAAGGGCUGGCGGUGUCUCCGUGCCUGUGUGCCCUAGGCACACACACUGUCGUCUCCAGACACCGCUUUGGCCGCUGGUAGAGUCUGCAUGAGGGCAGUCAACACACGGCCAAACUGGAACUCUCUGCCCCACCACAGGUUUCUGCAGUCUCCAUGCAGCAGACAUCCCUGGGAGCCCCCAGGCUGCUGGGCAGGGCUUCCUCCUCAGUUCAGAUUCUCCUCC